rnacentral:lncRNA from 1 species
CAAAGCUUGAAGCAUCUCAUGUUCCUAUUACUUAGAGUUAAGGAGUCUUAGUCUUUAUGAGGUUGGUUCUUGAGUUGUAAUGUUUUCGUGUCUCAGUGAAGUAUAAACUGAGUUAGGAGAUUUUUCUUUAAGUUUGGGGACUCGAAGACUUGGGAACACUUACCUUGGGAAGGUUUGUAUUUUCGUAGAAUUAGGAGUUAGAGUUUAAUUCCUAGAUUACAAGAGUCUUGUAAUUUGUUGAUUGUUGAGGCUCAAUUGUUUUAGUGGAGUUGGGGUUAAAUCAUGUAGAGGUAUAGGUCAUGGUAUUUUAUACCUCUUUGACCCGGGUGUUUUCCACGUAAAAAUCACUGUUUAAUUACAUACUGUUUUAGCUACAUAGAAACACGUUAGUCAACCUGUUCUAUCGAUAGGCAACUGUCAGGCUAAAACAAGUAAUUCGAAGGGCUCGUACUCUAACAAGUGGUGUCAGAGAGAUAGGUUAUCUUACAUAAUGUUAACACCUAAGAAAAGAUCAUUAUGAUGAAUUCCGCACCUUCUACUGGUCACAGUGAAGGACAAUCCACUAUAGGCCUCCUCUUUUCAAUGACACUUAUUUCGCAUGGUUGAAAGCUAGAAUGGAAAUAUUCAUUCAAGGAGAAGACUAUGAAUUUCAUGCGACAGAAUUAUUGAUGGUCCAGCUGUCCCAAUAAAGUUGGAAGAUGGUGAACAAGUGAAAAAGGUGAGAAGUGAAUUUACUACUGAUGAGUUGGUGGCACUUAAGAAAAAUACAAGGGAAAAGAACAUCUUACUGUAUGGAUUAGGUCUAGCUGAGUACAACAUAGUGUCUACUUGCACCACUGCCAAGCAAAUAUGGGAUGCCUUGGUAAAUGCACAUGAGGGCACCACUCAAGUGAGAAAAUUUAGAGUUGCUCUUCUCUUUAUUGAAUAUGAAGAUUUUAAAAUAAAGGACAAUGAAUCCCUUUAUCAGAUGAUGUCAAGACUCACUACUUUAACAAAUGAGUUGACCUCUUUGGGAAAAGUCAUCACUACUGAAGAAUAAGUUGAUAAAGUAUUGAGGGUUUUGCCAAAAUCAAAAUGGGAUGUCAAGAUCACUGCGAUUAGGGAGGCAAAGGACCUAACCAGUAUGAUGUUGGAUGAAUUAGUAGGUAACUUAAACGACCUAUGAGAUGCAAAUUGAUGAAACCAAGAAUGAAACGGAAGCUCCGGAAAAAAUUUGGCUCUAAAGGAUUCUGAAAGUGAUGGGGAAGUAGAACUGAUUGAAGAUUAGGUGGCUUUUAUAACAAAAAAAAUCUGUAAAGUCUUCUAAAGGAAAAAUGGAACAGGUAACAAAAGGCGGUCCAAUGAUAAUCCUACAGGGUGCUUUAAGUGUGGGAACACUGAUCACUAAGUCAGAGAUUGUCCUUUUUGGAAAAUUGAAUGGAGUAAAGAAAGAGUUGAGAAAGAAUUAAAGGGAAAGGAUAUGAAAAAAGAGAAGGAGGAAUUUGUUAUGGUAGCUGCUUGGGGAUUUGACUCUAAAGGAUAAGAUGGGGAUGAGGUAGAUGAAACUGCUCUUAUGGCAAUUGGAUAUUCAGACAUGGAAGAUGAUGAUAACACUGUUGAGGUAAGUAUUCCUAUACUUAUAAAGAAUUUACAUUUAUUUUCAAAAGAAAAGCUUAUUUCAUUGAUGAAUGAAUUAAUAAAUGAUUUCCAAGAAUUAUCUUCUCGAAGGGCUCGUACUCUAACAAGUGGUGUCAGAGAGAUAGGUUAUCUUACAUAAGGUUAAAACCUAAGAAAAGAUCAUUAUGAUGAAUUCCGUACCUUCUACUGGUCACAGUGAAGGACAAUCCACUAUAGGUCUCCUCUUUUCAAUGGCACUCAUUUUGCUAGGUUGAAAGCUAGAAUGGAAAUAUUCAUUCAAGGAGAAGACUAUGAAUUUUAUGCGAUAGAAUUACUGAUGGUCCAGCUGUCCCAAUAAAGCUGGAAGAUGGUGAACAAGUGAAAAAAGUGAGAAGUGAAUUUACAGCUGAUGAGUUGGUGGCACUUAAGAAAAAUGCAAGGGAAAAGAACAUCUUACUGUGUGGAUUAGGUCCAGCUGAGUACAACAUAGUGUCUACUUGCACCACUGCCCAGCAAAUAUGGGAUGCCUUGGUAAAUGCACAUGAGGGCACCACUCAAGUGAGAAAAUUUAGAGUUUCUCUUCUCUUUAUUGAAUAUGAAGAUUUUAAAAUAAAGGACAAUGAAUCCCUUUAUCAGAUGAUGUCAAGACUCACUACUUUAACAAAUGAGUUGACCUCUUUGGGAAAAGUAUGAAGAAUAAGUUGAUAAAGUAUUGAGGGUCUUGACAAAAUCAAAAUGGGAUGUCAAGAUCACUGCGAUUAGGGAGGCAAAGGACCUAACCAGUAUGAUGUUGGAUGAAUUAGUAGGUAACUUAAACGACCUAUGAGAUGCAAAUUGAUGAAACCAAGAAUGAAACGGAAGCUCCGGAAAAAAUUUGGCUCUAAAGGAUUCUGAAAGUGAUGGGGAAGUAGAACUGAUUGAAGAUUAGGUGGCUUUUAUAACAAAAAAAAUCUGUAAAGUCUUCUAAAGGAAAAAUGGAACAGGUAACAAAAGGCGGUCCAAUGAUAAUCCUACAGGGUGCUUUAAGUGUGGGAACACUGAUCACUAAGUCAGAGAUUGUCCUUUUUGGAAAAUUGAAUGGAGUAAAGAAAGAGUUGAGAAAGAAUUAAAGGGAAAGGAUAUGAAAAAAGAGAAGGAGGAAUUUGUUAUGGUAGCUGCUUGGGGAUUUGACUCUAAAGGAUAAGAUGGGGAUGAGGUAGAUGAAACUGCUCUUAUGGCAAUUGGAUAUUCAGACAUGGAAGAUGAUGAUAACACUGUUGAGGUAAGUAUUCCUAUACUUAUAAAGAAUUUACAUUUAUUUUCAAAAGAAAAGCUUAUUUCAUUGAUGAAUGAAUUAAUAAAUGAUUUCCAAGAAUUAUCUUCUGAUAGGGAUGAACUAUUCAACAGUCUUGCAAGUCUCAAGUUUGAUCUUAUUUAUCUGGAAAAUUUCAAAAAUAUUGCUGAAAAAGAAAACAACACUCUCAAGGAAAAAGUCAGUGAACUUGAUUCUUCAAAUUUAAUUCUUCAAUUUGAGAUCUUAAAACUGACUCUUUCUGAAAAAGGUAAAAGGAUAGAACGUGAUGAUCAGACAAGGCUUGAGUUUAAAUUGACAAAGGUUAAACAUGAAAAGGAAAAGGUUAAGAAAUUAAGCCAAGAAAUCUCUAGGUUAAAACUUGAUCUAGAAAGGCCAUAUAUAUGGAAAAAUUUCUUAAGAAUUAUUCAUGAAUUAGGUGAAAAGACUCACCAUGAAAAGGCUGGAUUAGGAUUUUUUUCAAGAGUCAAACUGUCACUAAUGAUUUAUACUACAUCUAUGGCAAUCUUGGACAUCCAACUAUUGAAUGUCCAAUUGCUAAUAAUAGCAGAUCCAUAAGUAUAAAUCUGUCAGAUUUCAUAAGAUCUCAGAGAAAUAAAGUAAAUAACAAAACCAAUCAGAGAAACAGGUCACAUAACCUGUUGCCUCAUUGGUCUAAAAGAAACCUGAUUUAUUUUUUAUCUCUCAAGAAAGGACCCAAGUUUGUCUAAGUUCUUAAAGUUAACCCCUAAAUUAUUUUGCUGGCAUGGUAAGAGUGAAAGAAGGAAAGAAAAAAUAGAACAUGGUUAGAGCUUGCUCAAGGAAUAAGACUGAAAGAGAACAAAGAUCCUUUCACUGAGGGGAAGAUUGUUUGCAACAAGAAAACAAAAGAUUGAAAAGAAUCAAAAACAAAAGUGUUUGGAUAUGUAGUGUUUGAGUAAGGGGUAAGUAAGAGAGACUUUGUUCAAAAGAAAAUAAUCUGAUUAGUGUGAAAUCCUUGUGAACUAGGGUAAGAAGAAAGAAAGGGAAAUAAAUUGCAGUAAAAUUGAUGAGUUGCAUAGAAACAGGUUGUGCUACCUGGUCAAUCUAAUUGUUCAAGUGAUGGGCAUAGUGACAAGGGGAAAAGUAAGAAACUUAUUCAUUAACAACACCUUAGCAAUCUACAGAUAAAGUGGGAAGAUUCUUGAAGAGAGUAAAAAUCCAACCUAGUAGGUUACCUUGAUGAAGUUCAUACAAGGUGUUUUGAAAACAAGAAAAGAACUGGAGGUUUUAUACAUCUUAUUGGAACAUGUCUAACAACUUGGUCCACAAAUAAAAAAAAUGCUCAAUAGCUUUUUCUACUAAUAAGGCUAAGUGUGUUGUUGCUGAUUCAUGUCAUGCCUAAUUAUUUUAGAUACAGAAACAAUUCAUGAAUUUUGGGUAUAAAUGUAGGAUGUUUUCAUACUUUUUAUAUAAUACAAGUGCCUCAAAUUUGAAAUUUUUUUCCUGUACUAAAUCUUAUUGAUAUUGGACACUAGUCUCUUAGAUACAAUUUUAAGGAAGGUCUUAUAUCUAUCACAUUAUGUUGCAUGGAAGAUCAAAUUGCUGAAGCACUUAGUAGUGAGCUCUAUGAAAUUAGUAGAUUAGAAUUGGGUAUGAUUAAGGUUUCAUAAACUCCCUGCAAUGAUUGACUAGAAAUAUUUAUUCUUAGUAUGUCCCAUGCUAAAAAUUGUUGAAUAAUUCAAUCUUGCACGAUGCGUUAUGUGUUCUAAUUCCAGGAUUUUGACUGAUCUCACUGAUUGUGUAUUGAACUUUGUAGAGAUAACGGAUCCUUUGAAUAUAUUGGAUAUAAUUUAAAACCAUCUAGGUAUAACAUUAUUUUAAUUAUUUUUAAAUUAGCAUGAUGAAAUACCUUUGUUUACUUGGUCCCAAAAAAGAAUUAUCUUCAUAAUCGCCAAAAGUCCAAGCGUUCGUGUUUUCAAAAAGAGGAUUGCCACCACUUUUAGCUUUCCCAUCAUUGUCUGCCAGGUCUUUUCACAUCAGAAUUCCGUACCUAUCACCAUUACUUUACCAAAUUUAUGUUUCAUCUUCCAAGUUACUCAACUAUUUAAAUCAAAGUUGCUUUACCAAAUCAUAUCAUUCCCACAUCUCUUUCUCUCUCUAUGAACAAAUUGUACCUUUCCAUUGUGUCAAUGUUUUCCUCUUCAUCCUCCCCUAAGUUGACUAAAUCCAACACAUUCAGUAAAUCACCAUCCACUGAAUUGGUUAUUCAUGCCACUGCCAACACCACUCUUCAUAUUUCUCCUAGUAUCCCCAUGAAAUUCUCCGACUUUGUAUCUUGGACGAGUCUUCAAAAUCCAUUCUCAAAAUUCUCUGCAAGUUCACAUGUUUCUCCCACCUCAACUUAUAAAAUUAUUGAUGCCACCUCUCUCCAAAUUAUCGACACUGAUGAUAUUCCUAUAGCAAAUUUGGUCCGUCGAAAAGCCAGAUCUCAGUUGUUAAACAACAACAGUCUUCCACCCCUAUUGUUGUCGAUGAGCUUGAGGUUCCUGAUGAACCAUAUUCGUAUUAUAUUUCACCUAUAACUCUUCAUAAAUGAAAUAAAAAGCGUUAAGAGGAAUCUUCUAUUGCUGAGGCAAUCCAAGCCAGUAAAAAUACACGCUCAACUCUACCUGUUCCUCCCUCUUCUUCUAUUUGUCAAGAUGUUUUGCUUUGCUCUGUGAGGAAGGGAAGGAAAAAAUAAUUUAUUACCAAACCAUCUGGAUUUCAACCUCCUCUUUCAACUCUAUAGUCAAAAGGAAAGUCGACAUCCACUUCCCAUCAAAUCCCUCUAAAUCCCUAACUCCCUCCUGCUCUAGAAAGCGGUUUCCUACACCUGUUCCAUCAGACACUUCUAAGUCUGAUAAGGAUUUUGAUAUUGAGGAAUUUUCUGAGCCUAUUGAUUCUAAAAUGGAUCAUGUUCUCUACUUUCAAAAGAGAAAACUUGUUAGGGGUAGGGUCAUGACUAGCUAUGGAGGUCUUGCCAUGGAAAUUGUGUUGAAAAAAUUAGCUGUCCAGGGGUGGACUAACCUGCUCCUUCAAGGUAAUGUUCAAAGGAUGUUUGUAAAUUCUAAGGUGUGUAAAUUUUACACCAAUGGGAUUGAACGUGAUGAUGUGUUUUCAUCAUCUAUGAGAGGGGUAGAUAUAAACUUUGCUACAGAUAAUUUCGCUAGGAUUUUAGGUGUUCCAUUGGGAAGCUAGGGUCAUUAUGUGAAAUUCAAAUGGAUGCCUUUGGAUAAUCUACACUCUGCCUUAUAAAUCUCUAGGAAAUUCUCGGGUAAUCCAAAUCUUGAUUACCAUUGUAGAGUCUUUAAAAGAGAGAUGUCUCCUCUACAUCAGUUGUAUUUUGAUGGUGUGCAUAAGAUGAUCCUCCCAAGGAAAGAAAAAUGUACUGAGGAAAAUUUUCUUGAUCUGACUCUCAUGGAGCUCCUGUACACUAAAGUCAGAAUCGAUUUGCCCAGACUUAUGAUCAAGUACAUAUAGAGGGUCCUUGUUAUAGAUAAAAAAAGACAUGCUUUGCAUUAUGAGUUCUGGCUAGCACCUAUUCUUAAAGAUUACUCAGUUCCUAUUCAAGUGUGAACCCUGCAGACCACAAAGGAUGUCACUGGCAUAGUGGAACACAUGAACUUAUCUGUUUUGAUUAGAAGUGUUGAUACUCCUUUUAAAUGAGCAAGAAAUGCUCUUGCUGAGAAGAAUGCUGCAAUGAUUUCAGCACAGGCUGAACAUGAUGUUGAGAAAGCCUUGCUUCAGGCUCAAAUUCAUUUUCUUAAAGCUGAACUUACUUGUAAGCGAGCAGAGAAUAUGGAAACUAUUCGUAGACUGAUUCAGUUGCUUCCAUCUAUUCCUUCUUCCUCUUCCAACUCUCAGAGCUUUAGUUUUUGUCAAAAUGAUGUAGUUGUUCUUUAUGCCAGUUUGAAGUGAUUACAUAAUGUUCUAUACUAGAAAUUAAUGAAAUCACUACUUUUGUACUUAUUAUCUAGUAUUUGCAUAAUUUAAAUACAGUAUGUGUCUUUUCCUUCUUAUUCUGACUAUGUUAGAGAUAGACCAAGUGUCCAAAUUUAUUACACGAUCUUUUUGUCUCGGCAUAUCUUGAACUAACUUUUCGAUGAUGUCAAAAGGGAGAAAAUUGAGUUGUACUAUGUAUAUAACCUAAUGACUAAUCUGUAUCUUUUAGUGUUGUGUCUUUAGUAAAGUAUUUUAGGGAUGUAAAGUUUGUCAUCAUCAGAAAGGGUAAUUUUUUAGAUAAAUGAAGAUCAAUGAAGUUUUGAUGAUUGACAUAUAAAAGAAACAUGUUACACAAGCUGGUCCAACCACAUGAACACAAUCACUAAGGAAAGCGGACAAUUUUUUUUUUAAAAUUCAAUCAAUGGAUAAGAUCUCUUGCUCUCCUGAUGGAUCACGUGUGAUAAAAAGAAGUUUUAAUUUAAUACAACACAUUGUUAUAAGCUAAAGAGGAAGAGUUUCAUUCAAAUAGAUAGACUAAUUUGAAGAAGGAGUUUUACAAAUAAGAAGAAUCAUACUCGAAGAAG